GACGAACGCUGGCGGCGUGCCUAACACAUGCAAGUCGAACGGCAACACAGUGCGUGCUUGCGGUGACGGGUGGCAAGUGGCGGGCGGGACAGGAGUAAAUCCGACCCUUCACUUUCGGAGGGCAUAACGAAGCGGGGCUUAAGCUAAUAUCGCAUCUGACCUUCGGGUGAGAGCGUGGGAUCUUCUGCGCUUUCGGGAUUGGAUGAGCCGCUGUCGGAUUAGCUAGUUGGCGGGGUAAAGGCCCACCAAGGCGCCGAUCGGUAGCUGGUCUGAGAGGAUGAUCAGCCACACUGGAACUGAGACACGGUCCAGACUCCUACGGGAGGCAGCAGUGGGGAAUAUUGGACAAUGGGCGCAAGCCUGAUCCAGCCAUACCGCGUGGGUGAAGAAGGCCUUCGGGUUGUAAAGCCCUUUUGUUGGGAAAGAAAAGCAGCAGGUUAAUACCCCGCUGUUCUGACGGUACCCAAAGAAUAAGCACCGGCUAACUUCGUG
rnacentral:rRNA from 1 species